AGCGAACGCUGGCGGCAGGCCUAACACAUGCAAGUCGAACGGAUCCUUCGGGAUUAGUGGCGGACGGGUGAGUAACACGUGGGAACGUGCCCUUUGGUCGGAACAACUCAGGGAAACUUGAGCUAAUACCGGAUAAGCCCCUUCGGGGGGAAAAGAUUUUAUCGCCAUUGGAGCGGCCCGCGUAGGAUUAGCUAGUUGGU
rnacentral:rRNA from 1 species